AGAUAGCUGAGUGGUAGAAGUACUACAUUUUCAAACUGGAAGUCUUGGUUUCAAUUCCCAGUUUGCCC
rnacentral:tRNA from 16 species